AGUGGGGAAUAUUGCACAAUGGGCGCAAGCCUGAUGCAGCCAUGCCGCGUGUGUGAAGAAGGCCUUAGGGUUGUAAAGCACUUUCAGUCGUGAGGAAAGGUGUGUGCUUAAUACGUACAUACUGUGACGUUAGCGACAGAAGAAGGACCGGCUAACUCCGUGCCAGCAGCCGCGGUAAUACGGAGGGUCCGAGCGUUAAUCGGAAUUACUGGGCGUAAAGCGCGCGUAGGUGGAUUGGUCAGUCAGAUGUGAAAGCCCAGGGCUCAACCUUGGAACUGCAUCUGAUACUGCUAGUCUAGAAUACAGUAGAGGGUAGUGGAAUUUCCUGUGUAGCGGUGAAAUGCGUAGAUAUAGGAAGGAACACCAGUGGCGAAGGCGACUACCUGGACUGAUAUUGACACUGAGGUGCGAAAGCGUGGGGAGCAAACAGGAUUAGAUACCCUGGUAGUCCACGCCGUAAACGAUGUCUACUAGCCGUUGGAAGACUUGAUCUUUUAGUGGCGAAGCUAACGCGAUAAGUAGACCGCCUGGGGAGUACGGCCGCAAGGUUAAAACUCAAAUGAAUUGACGGGGGCCCGCACAAGCGGUGGAGCAUGUGGUUUAAUUCGACGCAACGCGAAGAACCUUACCAACUCUUGACAUCCAGAGAAGAGGCUAGAGAUAGCUUUGUGCCUUCGGGAACUCUGAGACAGGUGCUGCAUGGCUGUCGUCAGCUCGUGUUGUGAAAUGUUGGGUUAAGUCCCGUAACGAGCGCAACCCUUGUCCUUAUUUGCCAGCACGUAAUGGUGGGAACUCUAAGGAGACUGCCGGUGACAAACCGGAGGAAGGUGGGGACGACGUCAAGUCAUCAUGGCCCUUACGAGUUGGGCUACACACGUGCUACAAUGGCCGGUACAGAGGGCUGCAAACCUGCGAAGGUAAGCUAAUCUCACAAAACCGGUCGUAGUCCGGAUUGGAGUCUGCAACUCGACUCCAUGAAGUCGGAAUCGCUAGUAAUCGUGGAUCAGAAUGCCACGGUGAAUACGU
rnacentral:rRNA from 1 species